AUGGCGGAGGAAGAUAAGGCGCCCAGCGACGCAACGUCGACGGUGGCGGAGGAGGCGCCGGUGACGGCCGAGCGGCUGGUCCGGGCAGACCUGGAGCUGCGCCUUCCCAAGCCAUACUUGGCUCGAGCUCUGGCCGUGCCCGAUGUGUACCAUCCUGAAGGAGAGAGCGGGGAGGGGCACGAGCACGGCCAGAAGAGCGUGCUGCAGCAGCAUGUGUCCUUCGACCUGGACGGCGACGGCAUCGUCUAUCCCUGGGAGACUUACCGAGGAAUGCGGUCGCUGGGCUUCAACGUGAUCUUGUGUUUUAUAGCGGCAAUUGCCAUAAAUAUUGGUCUAAGCUUCCCAACUCUACCUAGCUGGAUACCAUCUCCCUUGUUCCCCAUACACAUCAAGAACAUCCACAAGGAUAAGCAUGGCAGCGACUCCUCGACGUACGACACGGAGGGAAGGUUCAUGCCGGUAAAUUUCGAGAGCAUCUUCAGUAAGUACGCCCGCACGGCGCCGGACAAGCUCAGCUUUGGCGACAUCUGGAGGAUGACCGAAGGCAACAGGCUGCAGUAUGACUUCUUUGGGUGGUUGGUGAGCAAGGGAGAGUGGAUACUGCUGUACGUGCUUGCAAGGACGAGGAGGGCUUCGUCUCCAGAGAAGCUGUUCGCCGCUGCUUCGAUGGUAGCUUGUUCGAGUUCAUCGCCCAGCAAAGGAGGGAAGCCCACGAGAAGCAGCACUAGAGUCACAGGACUGAGUAGAGUGCAACGUUGUCAUCUCGGAGUGUCUUCGAUCGUGAGUUUUCAAAUGUGGACCAGAUUGAUUACCUCAUCAUGUAUGCCUAGGAAAUAA
rnacentral:rRNA from 1 species